GAUGAACGCUGGCGGCGUGCCUAAUACAUGCAAGUCGAGCGAACAGACGAGGAGCUUGCUCCUCUGACGUUAGCGGCGGACGGGUGAGUAAAACGUGGAUAACCUACCUAUAAGACUGGGAUAACUUCGGGAAACCGGAGCUAAUACCGGAUAAUAUAUUGAACCGCAUGGUUCAAUAGUGAAAGACGGUUUUGCUGUCACUUAUAGAUGGAUCCGCCCCGCAUUAGCUAGUUGGUAAGGUAACGGCUUACCAAGGCAACGAUGCAUAGCCGACCUGACAGGGUAACCGGCCACACUGAAACUGAGGCACGGUCCAGACUCCUACAGGGAGCGGCAGUAGGAACACUUCUGCAAUGGGCGGAAGCCUGACGGAGCAACGCCGCGUGAGUAAUGAAGGUCUUCGGAUCGUAAAACUCUGUUAUUAGGGAAGAACAAAUGUGUAAGUAACUAUGCACGUCUUGACGGUACCUAAUCAGAAAGCCACGGCUAACUACGUG
rnacentral:rRNA from 1 species